rnacentral:rRNA from 1 species
GGAUUGAACGCUGGCGGCAGGCCUAACACAUGCAAGUCGAGCGGUAGAGAGGUGCUUGCAUCUCUUGAGAGCGGCGGACGGGUGAGUAAUGCCUAGGAAUCUGCCUAGUGGUGGGGGAUAACGUUCGGAAACGGACGCUAAUACCGCAUACGUCCUACGGGAGAAAGCGGGGGACCUUCGGGCCUCGCGCCAUUAGAUGAGCCUAGGUCGGAUUAGCUAGUUGGUGAGGUAAUGGCUCACCAAGGCGACGAUCCGUAACUGGUCUGAGAGGAUGAUCAGUCACACUGGAACUGAGACACGGUCCAGACUCCUACGGGAGGCAGCAGUGGGGAAUAUUGGACAAUGGGCGAAAGCCUGAUCCAGCCAUGCCGCGUGUGUGAAGAAGGUCUUCGGAUUGUAAAGCAACUUUAAGUGGAGGAAGGUUGUAACCUAAUACGUUGCAACUUUGACGUUACCGACAGAAUAAGCACCGCUAACUCGUGCCAGCAGCCGCGUAA